CCCAGCCUAUGCAGGACGGGUAAGUUUUACCACAUAAAAAGGGACUUACCUCAGGAGUCAGGCCUCCAUUUUGCCAGAGCGGUGAGGAGAGAAGGAGUAAAGCAAGGGCUGCCGGUAAGCCAUCCAUCAAUCUGAGUUCUGAGCUGAAUUUACAGUUACAAACAAAAUUGAAAUGCUACAAAUGAAACUGAAGGCUACAAGCUUGUACUAAAGCAUAGUUUGAAAUCCUCCACACUGGCCUCAUCUACUGCAAUGGACACCCUCACUCUUGCCCACGCUCAACAUCACUGCAGAUGCUGGGAGACCUUGGGCUGCCUUCUCAUGCCACCGCCUCAAGGGACCCCUCUCACCAUCACACUGGCUCAAUCUCCUCUGUGCUGCACAGACCAGCUCUCCACAGAAAAGGCAGCAAGAUCGACUCCAAAAUUAUAACCAAUGAAAGACCUGCAGUCUGCCUUCCUCAGAUACCUCCUCAAGCUGAC